AANUUAACGGGGGGCCCGNACAAGCGGUGGAGCAUGNGGUUUAAUUNNGAAGCAACGCGCANAACCUUACCAUCCUUUGACAUGGCGUGUUACGUGGAGAGAUUCACGGUCCCCUUCGGGGGCGCGCACACAGGUGCUGCAUGGCUGUCGUCAGNUCGUGUCGUGAGAUGUUGGGUUAAGUCCCGCAACGAGCGCAACCCACGUCCUUAGUUGCCAUCAUUCAGUUGGGCACUCUAGGGAGACUGCCGGUGAUAAGCCGCGAGGAAGGUGUGGAUGACGUCAAGUCCUCAUGGCCCUUACGGGAUGGGCUACACACGUGCUACAAUGGCGGUGACAGUGGGACGCGAAGGAGCGAUCUGGAGCAAAUCCCCAAAAGCCGUCUCAGUUCGGAUUGCACUCUGCAACUCGAGUGCAUGAAGGCGGAAUCGCUAGUAAUCGUGGAUCAGCAUGCCACGGUGAAUACGUUCCCGGGCCUUGUACACACCGCCCGUCACACCAUGGGAGUUGGUCUUACCCGACGGCGCUGCGCCAACCGCAAGGGGCAGG
rnacentral:rRNA from 1 species